CCUACGGGAGGCAGCAGUGAGGAAUAUUGGUCAAUGGCCGGAAGGCUGAACCAGCCAUGCCGCGUGAAGGUCAGUGCCCUAUGGGCGUUAAACUUCUUUUGUGCGGGAGCAAUAAUGGUCACGUGUGGCCAGACGAGAGUACCGUACGAAUAAGCAUCGGCUAACUCCGUGCCAGCAGCCGCGGUAAUACGGGGGAAGCAAGCGUUAUCCGGGUUUAUUGGGUUUAAAGGGUGCGUAGGCUGUGAGGUAAGUCAGCGGGGAAAUGCCCCCGCUCAACGGGGUGAAGUGCCAUUGAUACUGCCUUGCUGGAAUGCGGAUGCCGUGGGAGGAAUGUGUGGUGUAGCGGUGAAAUGCAUAGAUAUCACACAGAACACCGAUUGCGAAGGCAUCUCACGAAUCCGCGAUUGACGCUGAUGCACGAAAGCGUGGGUAUCAAACAGGAUUAGAUACCCGGGUAGUC
rnacentral:rRNA from 1 species